CAAUAGCGUAUAUUAAAGUUGUUGCGGUUAAAAAGCUCGUAGUUGGAUUUCUGCUUGGGGUGGCCGAUGUGCCUUCUGGGUUACAGCCGGUUCAGCCUGAGCAUCUUCUUGGGAAUCGUGUCUGCACUUGAUUGUGUGGCACGGGUUCCAGGACUUUUACUUUGAGGAAAUUAGAGUGUUUCAAGCAGGCGUCCGCCUUGAAUACGUUAGCAUGGAAUAAUGCGACAGGACCUCGGUCCAUUUUGUUGGUUUCUUGGGUUGAGGUAAUGAUUAACAGGGACAGUUGGGGGCAUUUUUAUUCCAUUGUCAGAGGUGAAAUUCUUGGAUUAACGGAAGAAAACUACUGCGAAAGCAUCUGCCAAGGAUGUUUUCAUUGAUCAAGAACGAAAGUUAGGGAUCGAAGACGAUCAGAUACCAU
rnacentral:rRNA from 1 species